AAACUGGGUGUCGUGCAGGCAGAUGCGUGCCUGUGUCUAGAGCCCACACCACUCAACUGCUUCCCAAAGAACAACUUGAGAGAUCUUUGGAUUCCAAAAUUACAUGGACCUAAUAUCCCAGAGUUUUGGUCAUGCCUGUUAGAGAAGAGCAGUGCCUCUGAUGCAGGCUGUUUUGGUUCCUUGAGGACUAAGCGAUUUUUCUUGCAAGUUGAAACUAAGCACAGUGGCAUCCUUACCUUGAGGCCCAGCGUGCACCCUGGCCUCAGCCCAGCACUCCAGCCUACUGGGAACAGGCUGUGCGUGCUCUGCAGCUGCCUGCCCUGGGCAUCUCUGCCAGGGCUGCCCAGCCUGCCAACUUCAUCUGGGCAGAGCCCCUCCUCCCUAGGUGUUUGGAGUUAGAUCUGAUCAUCCUUGCUGGGGUGGGAGUCAGAUGACUCCUCCAUUCCACCCAAGGAGCUGGGACAGCCGCUCUGACUGUGGAAUAAGGAGAAUGGCCUGCCCCCUUAUAAACCUCGAAUCCCUACAAGUGAGGGGAAUAUCUUUUGGAAUUGAUUUAUUGCCUUUGCAAUCUUUGCUUUUGAUUUCCUUGGUAGCUCUAUUUCCUUCUUUCCUUUCCUGUCAAAUCUCUCAGACUCAGAAUGGACCAUGGUUUCUGGAGCAUAGGGGUACAUCCCAAGGGGCUUCUUAUUCUCCAGCACCCCUGGUGUCCUCUCACCAGCAUGAGGUGAAAGUGGUCCUCCCUGGGCUGAGCCAUAGCUGGUUGCCCUGUGACAUAAGGUGCAACCCCAGCACAUGAUGCCAUUAUCUUGGAAUAAAUUCUUUUGACUUAU
rnacentral:lncRNA from 1 species